GACGAACGCUGGCGGCGUGCCUAACACAUGCAAGUCGAGCGGAGUCGAUCGACGGAAGCCUUCGGGCGGAAGAUGGUUGACUUAGCGGCGGAUGGGUGAGUAACGCGUGGGCAACCUGCCUCGAAGACCGGGAUAACAGCCCGAAAGGGCUGCUAAUACCGGAUGUGGUCAAGGAUCCGCAUGGAUUUUGAUUAAAGGGGAAACCCGUUUCGAGAUGGGCCCGCGUCCUAUCAGCUAGUUGGUGAGGUAAAAGCUCACCAAGGCGACGACGGGUAGCCGGCCUGAGAGGGUGACCGGCCACACUGGAACUGAGACAUGGUCCAGACUCCUACGGGGGGCAGCAGUGGGGAAUCUUCCACAAUGGGCGAAAGCCUGAUGGAGCGACGCCGCGUGAGCGAAGAAGGCCUUCGGGUUGUAAAGCUCUGUCUGGAGGGACGAAGGAAGUGACGGUACCUCCGGAGGAAGCCACGGCUAACUACGUG
rnacentral:rRNA from 1 species